GGGGAGGAAGGAAGGUGCUGGAAAGUGUUAUGAGGGGGAGUGCUGCCAGCCUCAACAGCACUAAAGGGUGUGGCUGCUGAGAAGGGGAGGAAGGAAGGUGCUGGAAAGUGUUAUGAGGGGGAGUGCUGCCAGCCUCAACAGCACUAAAGGGUGUGGCUGCUGAGAAGGGGAGGAAGGAAGGUGCUGGAAAGUGUUAUGAGGGGGAGUGCUGCCAGCCUCAACAGCACUAAAGGGUGUGGCUGCUGAGAAGGGAAGGAAGGAAGGUGCUGGGAGGUGUUAUGAGGGGGAGUGCUGCCAGCCUCAACAGCACUAAAGGGUGUGGCUGCUGAGAAGGGAAGGAAGGAAGGUGCUGGGAGGUGUUAUGAGGGGGAGUGCUGCCAGCCUCAACAGCACUAAAGGGUGUGGCUGCUGAGAAGGGAAGGAAGGAAGGUGCUGGGAGGUGUUAUG